rnacentral:rRNA from 1 species
AUUGAACGCUGGCGGCAGGCUUAACACAUGCAAGUCGAGCGGGGUGAUGGUGCUUGCACUAUCACUUAGCGGCGGACGGGUGAGUAAUGCUUAGGAAUCUGCCUAUUAGUGGGGGACAACAUCUCGAAAGGGAUGCUAAUACCGCAUACGUCCUAGGGGAGAAAGCAGGGGAUCACUUGUGACCUUGCGCUAAUAGAUGAGCCGAAGUCGGAUUAGCUAGUUGGUGGAGUAAAGGACCACCAAGGCGACGAUCUGUAGCGGGUCUGAGAGGAUGAUCCGCCACACUGGGACUGAGACACGGCCCAGACUCCUACGGGAGGCAGCAGUGGGGAAUAUUGGACAAUGGGGGGAACCCUGAUCCAGCCAUGCCGCGUGUGUGAAGAAGGCCUUAUGGUUGUAAAGCACUUUAAGCGAGGAGGAGGCUCUUUUGGUUAAUACCCAGAAUGAGUGGACGUUACUCGCAGAAUAAGCACCGGCUAACUCUGUGCCAGCAGCCGCCGUAA